ACCUCGCAAACCUUAGCAUCAGCUUCCGCAUCUCCCCGGUGAGUGACAGUUAUUAAAUCUUGCAUUUCAAGAAAUCAUAAGUCAUUUCCUAAUUAAAAUAAUAAAAUAUUACUUUUUGGCUCAUAGGGGCAUUUUCGUCAUUUUUUUUCGACAAUAUCGAAACUCGCCAAAAACAUGAUGUAAAAGCUAAAUAUGUUCAUACAUAUUUUAAAUCAGAUAACAAAAGUAUAAAAUUACUUUUACAAUGACACGUGGGCCCCCAACUAACCAAUAAGAUGCAAGUUUGUGAAUCUAUAAUUUUGACAAUGCAAAGCUAACUGAAGUCCUUGAUGCAAUCGGCUAUCUACCGGCUAUCCCGAACCUGAAAUGUGUGGAAUUGAGGGUGGUGAGAUUAUAAAAUCCCAGUGAGCAAACAGACACUAUCUAAACUAUCAAAGGCGAGUAAAUUGAGACAAUUAAAAAUAAUUAACUUCAGCAAAUUUUUCACAUCACGAAUAUUCAUUUCAACCAAAUAAUCAAUAUGGCUCGUGAAUUACUCAAAACCUGACUCAUGCCAAAUUCUGUACUCGGGGACACCUUGACCAAGGGUACCCAACUGAGUCUGCCAAGGUUGUUAAAAAUUCAUAUUUCGCAUAAAUCAUAUUUUUAUUUUGAAACAUAGCCGUUCCUUGGGGUUGGCUGAGUCUCACUCUCACGUGGUGGUCCACGUGAAGUGCACUCAAAAAGCCCACCUCAGGAGAUACCCUACGUGCCUCUACGACUGAGGUGAGAAUAUAAGGUAGUUUACCAUGCUCCUCUAAUAGGCUAGCCCACGGAACCCCCCACCACUGCAGUAGCUAAUCUUUUAUCUACCACGUGAUUUAUAAAAUCUUUUUCUGCAUGACAUGGCAAUUUAUCGCAACCUAGCCUCUCAAGGCUAAAUACACAGUACAAAUAAUUCUAACACCAAAAUCAGUUUAGCCAUUCAUGCUCAUUUAUUGUCAUAAGCCAUUCAAUUUAAAUCCAUAAAUUUACAACACAAGCAGGCAGUCUCCAAUUACUCUAUUUUCAAAACUAGUAUUCGAUUUUCUAGAAAAUUUAUAAAAUCAUUUUAUAAAAUCACAAUUUCUCUUAAAACAUAGCAAUUUACCAUUUAAACCAUUUUCCAUAAAAUCACACAAUUGUAUAAAACUACUCUAGAUAAUUAAGAUGAUAAUAAGUUUACUCACAGUUUUCGAAAACUAAAUUCGGGUACUCCAACUAUUACUCCUCGGGUGCGAUUUCUUUGCCCUUGUCAGAGGAUUCGCCACCUUGACAAAUUGCACAAUUAAGAGGUUUACUACUUUGGUACUAAACCAAAAUAAACUAAUUUAUACUACUAAUGCAUGAUAUGAAGUGCAAAAUGUCUAAAUUUUGCCUAAACGCGAUGUUAACCUAUUUCGGUCUUUUACCCGAUAAAUCGAUAUACGCGUUCGUUUAAACUCCAAAUUAAUUUUUUUCAGUUUCUAUACCUCAAUUGCACCCAAAUUGACUUAAUGUUGCUUAGUGUUGUACAAAUUAUCAGUCUCGAUAGCAAAUUACGAAAAUACCCCUGGUGGGUAAAAUUUGUAUUUUUGCUCCGAAAAUUUCCAUUAUUUUUCUAGGCUCAUAAUUCAUCAUUAUUCAUCAUAAUUCCUCAAAUAAACAUCAAGAUCAACAGCCAAUAUUCCCCUAGAAAAUUCGACCAAUAAUGGUAAUGGAGGAAAAUGAAUUCUUUUCUUGUUGUUUUGUUUCUAAAUAUGCUAAACUAACUAAAAACACUAACAUAACUUAAAAUCAAAUUAAUCUAACUUCAUUCUCUCUCCAUACCCAUUUGGGAAGACAUGAAUUCACAAUGAAAACAUGAAAUCUAACCAUGGAAAAUAAGGAGAAAAGCAUGGGAAAGGUAGAUCACAAGUCAAAAUCAAGAAAUUUUACCUUUGAUUGCUUGAUUCCUUGAAAUCCCACACUUUUUCUUCAAUUUUCCCCACCUAGGUUUUUGUUCUUUCUUUUCUCUCUUUGUUCUUCCUUUUUCUUUGUUUGGCCGGCCAUGUAAAAGAAA
rnacentral:lncRNA from 1 species